UCCCAGGACCCAGGGAUCAUGACAUCAGCCAAAGGGAGAUGCUCAACCGCUGAGCCACCCAGGUGGGCCUCAUCUGUUUAGUUGAUGGUCUUGAUGGAAGAAAAGAUCGACCUCUCAUGAGAGAGAAAGAAUUAUGCCACUGACAGCCUUGGGACUUGAACUACAGCCCUGGCUCCUACCUGGGUCUCCAGCCUGCUGGCUCACCUUGCACAUUUUGGACUUCUAGCCUUUUCCAAUCAAAUAAUUCCUUAAAAUUUGUCUCUAGACAUAUACACUCAUCCUCAUGGUUCUCUUUCUCUGGAAAUCUCUGACUAAUGCACCAGGUAAACUUUAUAACAGAGUGUACUCUGUUCCUUCAGUCAGUUGCCCUCCCUUCUGUUGGCAAUACCUGUUCAGAGUAUGUCUCCUUUGAAUGUAAGGGCAGAUGCAAGGAGCUAGAAUGUCAGUUUAAUUGAAUCUGUUCAAACCACUAACCAGAAUCAGCUUAGGUGGUGGAUUUUCAUAACCUAUGGUUUGAUGUUCAAGUCAGCAAUUUAUACCUUUACAAAAAUUAGAAUAGAUAGGUGAUUGAACUCUUAUAUUUUCUCAUCUGAUUGGGCUGACCAUACUGCAGGGACUUUUACAAAAAUUAGAAUAGAUAGGUGAUUGAACUCUUAUAUUUUCUCAUCUGAUUGGGCUGACCAUACUGCAGGGACUUUUCUGUAUGAAAGUCUGAUGGGAAUUGUGCACGGACAUUGUAUGGCACCACUAGCAGGGGGCACGUAUGUGAUACAGGGUAGGGCUGGACCAGGAAUAGGCACUACAUUCUGUGUAAUUUUAUUUCUAAGAGUAGCAUGAAGCUCUGUAUCUCCAGAGCAUACUUUUGAUAGCUCACCAGUUUACAGUCUUUUCUAGUUAGCCUUCUAACCUUGCCUGAAGGGGAUCAGUGAUAAGCAUUAUUAACUCCUUAUUGGCAUCUAGGGACUCUAAAAUGCCAGGAAGAAGGUGACCUGCCAUAUAUCACAUUGCAGGCCUUGGAGAGACUUCCACUGUGCAGAGCUGUCUUCUCAUGUGUUCAUCCUCUGAAGCCAUUGCUGAGGUCUGAAAGGUCUUUCUUUUGUUCCAUGGGAAAUCUCAUUGUUGUAAUUUGUGGUAUAUAAAUAGAGAAAAUAAAAAUUUUCUAAGAAGUA